UACGGAGGGUGCAAGCGUUAUCCGGAUUCACUGGGUUUAAAGGGUGCGUAGGUGGGUUGGUAAGUUAGUGGUGAAAUCUCUGGGCUUAACCCGGAAACUGCCAUUGAUACUAUCAAUCUUGAAUAUCGCGUAGGUAAGCGGAAUAUGUCAUGUAGCGGUGAAAUGCUUAGAUAUGACAUAGAACACCAAUUGCGAAGGCAGCUUACUUCACGAUCAUUGACGCUGUGGCACGAAAGCGUGGGGAGCAAACAGG
rnacentral:rRNA from 1 species